UUUGUUGUCCUUUUGUGGGGGGCGGGCAGGAAGGAUUCCACACCGCUGAUGCACUGAGGCACGCGCGUCCUGGUCCUAUCUGAUUAUUCGCUGCACUUGCUGCGUUUGGCAACGCAUUGCCCGGGGCGAUCCUGACGAACCGGAGGAGUACGCCAUCUGUGAAAUGGGCGCCCAGCCCGGAGCAGGAUCGAAGGGGCAACGCCCAGGCAGGAAUUAGACCCACGGCCCGGCCGGCGGCUCGGUUAGUUGGACGGUCGUCCCAGCACCGGAAGGUCGCGGGCUCCAUCCGGGUCAGGACGCACACCUGGGUCUCGGGUUCCAUCCCGGGCGGGCGGGGUGCGCACCGGAGGCCACCGACUGGUGCUCUCUCUCCCUCGCCCUCCCUCUCUAAAGUGAAUAAAAAAGAUCCCCUUAAAAAAGAAAAUCAGAUAAACUGCCAGACUGAAAUUUGGAAAAGCAACUAGUAACCAGGGUUUAUCUUAUGAAUGUGGCAAAUAUUUAACUUUUAAGUACAAAAUGAGAUGUUACAAUGGUGUGUCAUAGACAAAGACGUUAUGAAACCUUCACUAUUUCAAAAGCCAGGUGAAUCAAACUUUAGGAAGUACAGCUCUGAAGACUGCAGAACUCUUGUCAUGUAACUGAAGUAUGGUAGCCAUCAACUCAGGUAGAAACUGCUGUUUGGCUUCUGUACUUGUUUGCUAAAACAAUAGAAAGUUAUUUUGAUUUUCCGAACUUAUGUAUGCUAUCCCAAUACUCCAUUGAUGAUGGUUUGAAAGUCCCAUUGAUUGUGAUCUCACUGGUCAUCUAAGCACAUUCUUCCGGGAACCAGGACAGUUCGAUUAUCCUAAAUCGUCUCAGUAGCUACAGAUAACGAAUUCCGGUUGACUCAGUGGUCCCAGAAUCUGGAAAGCACAAUUAUUCUAAAUUGCCCCAGUGGUCCCAGAUAAUGUGUUUCUGUUGAUUCAGAGAUCUGUAGACCCAAAAACUAUACUUUAGAUAACUAACUUGCUCAAUUUCGCUUCUGUAAAAUGCUUUUCGCGAAACAGGUUCCUCGUUCCAGACCCCAAAGAUGUAAUUGAUACUUUUGUGAUAUUCUGCCAAUAUAAGCCAGAUGUGGCAAGCUGUUCGGGGCUGCGGGGUUUGGAGUGCUGAAUGGCUCCCUCGUAUGCCGCCGGCUUUUAAUAAAUGACUCCAUAAUUCGA